rnacentral:rRNA from 1 species
UACGUAGGGUGCAAGCGUUUAAUCGGAAUUACUGGGCGUAAAGCGUGCGCAGGCGGUUUUUGUAAGUCUGACGUGAAAUCCCCCGGGCUCAACCUGGGAAUUGCGUUGGAGACUGCAAGGCUGGAGUCUGGCAGAGGGGGGGUAGAAUUCCACGUGUAGCAGUGAAAUGCGUAGAGAUGUGGAGGAACACCGAUGGCGAAGGCAGCCCCCUGGGUCAAGACUGACGCUCAUGCACGAAAGCGUGGGGAGCAAACAGGAUUACGAA